CCUACGGGAGGCAGCAGUAGGGAAUCUUCCACAAUGGGCGAAAGCCUGAUCGAGCAACGCCGCGUGGGUGAAGAAGGUCUUCGGAUCGUAAAACCCUGUUGUUAGAGAAGAAAGUGCGUGAGAGUAACUGUUCACGUUUCGACGGUAUCUAACCGGAAAGCCACGGCUAACUACGUGCCAGCAGCCGCGGUAAUACGUAGGUGGCAAGCUUUAUCCGGAUUUAUUGGGAGUAAAGGGAACGCAGGCGGUCUUUUAAGUCUGAUGUGAAAGCCUUCGGCUUAACCGGAGUAGUGCAUUGGAAACUGGGAGACGUGAGUGCAGAAGAGGAGAGUGGAACUCCAUGUGUAGCGGUGAAAUGCGUAGAUAUAUGGAAGAACACCAGUGGCGAAAGUGGCUCUCUGGUCUGGAACUGACGCUGAUGUUCGAAAGCGUGGGUAGCAAACAGGAUUAGAUACCCGUGUAGUC
rnacentral:rRNA from 1 species